ensembl:lncRNA
UUACACAGCUUUCACCAUGCUGCAAUUAGCUGUUACACAAUUAGGCACACCACCUUAACUGUGCUGUAAAGGUGUCAGGCAAGGCUCUGUACUGUACUGAUGGCCCGAAUAUGUCACUUUGGCACAGAUGCACAAGAAACCAGAAUAAUCCAUUAUAUAUGUAAGAGUUUUAUAGUUGACACCGUGCUAAAUUUUCAACUUGUGCCAACAUGCAAAGGAGUUAUGCACCAGUCCAUCUGAAUUAUUUCCCCUGAUACUGUGGAUCUAUUAUUUGAUGCAAACAAGAUUCUUGCUCUCUAGCAUAAGGUUGAACUCUCAUUUAUUCUUCAUGUCAGGCUUCUAGAGUUGUGGGAGAGUGCCUAUUCAGAGGCGAGAAGCAUGAACACAUUGAUCUUAUUUGGACAGGCUUUUGUCUGGGACAUAUCCAAACCCAAACAGCCAGAGGAAGGACCACAACAGGGUAUAUCGACUUGACGGCUCUUAAGCUCAUCCCUUGCCCCGCUGAUGACCUCUUUCAGAUCUGCGUCUUGGUAAAGUUGUUGUAACUGUGGUAUCAUCCAUAAAUGCACUGACUGAGGUUCACACCCGCUGUCUUCUCCAGUGUGUUCAUGGACAGAGCAGCAAGGGAAAUUAAUCCAUACCUUCACAGAUUUGUUGUCCUCGCUCCGCGUCAGAGAUCUCCAGGUUGGGACGAAGCACAUAUUUUUCUAUUCUCUUCAUGCUACAGAGCUUGAUUAGAAGACAUGUAGCAUUUUGUUUUGUUUCUAUUGCAUCAACUACAGUAGAGUAGAGCAGCUGAGAAACAUCAGUGUUGGCUGACUCAUUUUCAGGGCUGUUACUCUAAUCUGCAGUUUUGAUUAGGUAGAAAUAAACAUGCUCAUAUUUAUGGCUGUGGAGCUGUUUCUGAA